rnacentral:rRNA from 1 species
UCANCCAUAGUGUGCCCUGGAAACUGUCUGACUUGAGUGCAGAAGGGGAGAGUGGAAUUCCAUGUGUAGCGGUGAAAUGCGUAGAUAUAUGGAGGAACACCAGUGGCGAAAGCGGCUCUCUGNUCUGUCACUGACGCUGAGGCUCGAAAGCGUGGGUAGCGAACAGGAUUAGAUACCCUGGUAGUNCACGCCGUAAACGAUGAGUGCUAGGUGUUAGGCCCUUUCCGGGGCUUAGUGCCGGAGCUAACGCAAUAAGCACUCCGCCUGGGGAGUACGACCGCAAGGUUGAAACUCAAAGGAAUUGACGGGGGCCCGCACAAGCGGUGGAGCAUGUGGUUUAAUUCGAAGCAACGCGAAGAACCUUACCAGGUCUUGACAUCCCGAUGCUAUUCUUAGAGAUAGGAAGUUACUUCGGUACAUCGGAGACAGGUGGUGCAUGGUUGUCGUCAGCUCGUGUCGUGAGAUGUUGGGUUAAGUCCCGCAACGAGCGCAACCCUUAUUGUUAGUUGCCAUCAUUAAGUUGGGCACUCUAGCGAGACUGCCGGUAAUAAACCGGAGGAAGGUGGGGAUGACGUCAAAUCAUCAUGCCCCUUAUGACCUGGGCUACACACGUGCUACAAUGGUCGGUACAACGAGUUGCGAGCCGGUGACGGCAAGCUAAUCUNUGAAAGCCGAUCUCAGUUCGGAUUGGAGGCUGCAACUCGCCUCCAUGAAGUCGGAAUCGCUAGUAAUCGCGGAUCAGCACGCCGCGGUGAAUACGUUCCCGGGCCUUGUACACACCGCCCGUCGCACCACGAGAGUUUGUAACACCCGAAGUCGGUGAGGUAACCUUUUAGGGNCCA